CCUACGGGAGGCAGCAGUAAGGAAUAUUGGUCAAUGGACGCAAGUCUGAACCAGCCAUGCCGCGUGAAGGAUUAAGGUCCUCUGGAUUGUAAACUUCUUUUAUCUGGGACGAAAAAAGGCGAUUCUUCGUCACUUGACGGUACCAGAUGAAUAAGCACCGGCUAACUCCGUGCCAGCAGCCGCGGUAAUACGGAGGGUGCAAGCGUUAUCCGGAUUCACUGGGUUUAAAGGGUGCGUAGGCGGGCAGGUAAGUCAGUGGUGAAAUCCUAGAGCUUAACUCUAGAACUGCCAUUGAUACUAUCUGUCUUGAAUAUUGUGGAGGUAAGCGGAAUAUGUCAUGUAGCGGUGAAAUGCUUAGAUAUGACAUAGAACACCUAUUGCGAAGGCAGCUUACUACGCAUAUAUUGACGCUGAGGCACGAAAGCGUGGGGAGCGAAACAGGAUUAGAUACCCUGGUAGUCCACGCCGUAAACGAUGGAUACUAGCUNUUUCGGAGNAUACUAUAGUGUGUAGAGAGAGAUAGUAAUACUACCGACGGAGGUAGUACGACGACGAAGUAGUAACGUAACGAAGUAGAGUAGUAGAGAGAGACGAGGACGACGACGACGGAGAGGGAGNG
rnacentral:rRNA from 1 species